GAUAAUUAGUUUAAAAUAAAACAAGUGAUUUCGACUCACUAGAUUAUGAGCCACCAUAAUUAUCAAA
rnacentral:tRNA from 1 species